UAGAUAAAAAUACUAAUUAAUGGUUAAAUAAACUUUAUUUACAAGGAAGUUAAAAAGUGUUUAUACAAAGGGUUUCUACAAAUGAUUACGUCAAAAAUAGAAUAUUGACAAUAAAAUAUGUCUGGUUAAUCUGGUAUUUAUGUCGGAGGAGAGUAGACGGGAAGUCCACCACCUCCAGCAUAAUGGAAAUGUUAAGAAUUGGAAAGUGGAGAUUGAUGAAUGAUAUCUCCAUAUUAACCAUAACAUGAACCCGCAUAAAACUAUGUGAUUGGUGCUGUGACUUAACUUAAGUCAAAAGAGCUAUCACCUAACUUUUAACAUCCAUUUAAAACAAUGAGAAGGAUAAAAAAAAAGUAAAUAAUAAAAUAACAAUAAAACAAUAAUAAUAAGAAAAAAAAAAAAAAAAAAAAAAAAAUAUAUAUAUAUAUAUUCCUUUUUUUAUAUAUAAACAUGUCAUAGUAGUAAAUUAAAAGGUGUUAAUGUAAGUAGAAAGGGAAAAGGUGGAUUAUAUUUUAGUGUCCAGUCGUAUAAAAGUAAAGUAAAAUUGUGGGCAAUAUUAAUGUUAAACCCCCUCUGGAAUCCCAAUAAGGAUACCAAUCCAUACGAGAUGUAGUUCCAAUAGGGGUCACAUAAUUAUUAAAAUACCUAAAAUAAUUUUGUUUUUAUUAAUCACAUAAUAUGGUUAAGAACAAAAGUCAAAAAGUUAAAACGUAUAAGGAUUACUAAUAUACAGCGUAUUACUCCUGCCAGAGAGAUUAGACGCAGUGUAACCCUUGAUAAAUUAAACGUAUAAAACACAGCAUAAAACAUAGAACAUAACACACACACACACACACACACACACACACACACACACACACACACACACACACACA